rnacentral:lncRNA from 1 species
AGCAUGUGGAUAUCACCGUCCAACUCCCAGUGGGAAGAAAGCAAAGCAAUCGCGAGGGCAACCUUGGAAGCAGAAGCAGAACACCUACAGUGUCAGUGAGGUUCCAUGUCUCUUUGAUGCCUCUGUUUUGGAAUGGAUCAACUGACUAAUGCCUGGCCAUCUCUAUCUGUGGUGUAGCAAUGUCCCAGCUUCAUUGGAUCAAGUCUCGUGAGUUCUGCUCAGCUGCACUUUUAUGGCCUUGGGGUAAGAGAUUUGUUUCUGACACUCCUACUGACGAGUUGUUCUCUUUCCAUGGUCACAUACAGUUCUCGUUGUCAGUUACUUCAAGUCCUUGUGAAUUAGUGUCGUGUCCAUUUGCUGCUGCAUCUCGUGGCUAUUUGCUGCUGUUUGGACUUAAGAGUAACGCAAAUGGUCCCCUUGCCUUGUUUCUCUGCCUGUGCCCACCAGCACCAACAGACACCAAGAAAAGAAAAUCUUACAUUCGUGUCAUUUUAUAUUUUCAACCAAAUCCAUUAGGCCAUUUCAGUUUAUUUUAGGUUAACG